rnacentral:rRNA from 1 species
GACGGAGGAUGCAAGCGUUAUCCGGAAUGAUUGGGCGUAAAGCGUCCGCAGGUGGCAGUUCAAGUCUGCUGUCAAAGACCGGGGCUUAACUUCGGAAAGGCAGUGGAAACUGAACAGCUAGAGUAUGGUAGGGGCAGAGGGAAUUCCUGGUGUAGCGGUGGAAUGCGCAGAGAUCAGGAGGAACACCCAUGGCGAAGGCAGCUCUCUGGUCGACCUCUGACGCUGAGACGCGAAAGCGUGGGGAGCGAACGGG